UGGGGAAUAUUGCGCAAUGGGGGAAACCCUGACGCAGCAACGCCGCGUUAAGGAAGAAGGCUUUCGGGUUGUAAACUUAUGUCUGGUGGGAAGAUAAUGACGGUACCACCGGAGGAAGUCACGGCUAACUACGUGCCAGCAGCCGCGGUAAUACGUAGGUGGCGAGCGUUGUCCGGAAUUACUGGGUGUAAAGGGCGCGUAGACGGGUAGAUAAGUUAGAUGUGAAAUACCGGGGCUUAACUCCGGGGCUGCAUUUAAAACUGUUUAUCUUGAGUGCAGGAGAGGGAAGCGGAAUUCCUAGUGUAGCGGUGAAAUGCGUAGAUAUUAGGAGGAACACCAGUGGCGAAGGCGGCUUUCUGGACUGUAACUGACGUUGAGGCGCGAAAGCGUGGGUAGCAAACA
rnacentral:rRNA from 1 species